rnacentral:misc_RNA from 1 species
GUGUGUGUGUGUGUGUGUGUGUAGAAUUCACAAUUUCCAAGUAAGACUAAAAGCACGCCAUAUUGCUAAUUGAAAUUGUAAGUCACUAAAUAAAUGAUAAAUUGACAACAAAAUUAGAGUUACAAGACUUUGGCAAUUCUGGACAUAAGUUAGUAAAUCCAUAACAAAGCCUAACAUGUUAACACAGUUUAAUAGUAAACUACGAGGAAGAGGGAGCAGGGGGGCUCCCUAAAACCCAAGCUUUAUGCAUAUAAACAAAAUAUUGAAUCCAAUGAAGGACAACCACAUGAUUCCAUAAUGCUUCUUCCUUUUUUCUAACAAUGAUGCUAUCAUUCCAUUUUAUUAUCACAGCCCACAUUCAUUUAUAUCUCACUCUAACCAUUGCACACCACCAAAAUGAUGACUCCUUCCCACUUCAUGGUACAAUUAAUGCUCGCAAAUACCACAAGGAUAAAUCAUUUUCCAAAAGUUCCCUAAAACCAAGCUCAUUUACUGCUCCAUCUACUUCUACUUGUAGAUAAUAGGUCAAUAUAACAGAAUAUAGUCACAGCACAGCACUUCCCCACCAAGGCCAUGACAUUCCAUCACAGUCUCAUUUCUACUCCCAAUUAUUAUAGAAGUUUAUGCGUCUAAUAUUUGGUUGUCAACAUAUUCACAAGAAUCACAACAGAGAUAGCAUUGUCCCCCAUGUAACAACUAGAGUAGAAAUCAACAUUUUGACUUCCCAAAGAGAAGCAGUCCAAGCAACACCAAUUAAAAGACCACAAUUGAACUCAAAACACAUCUUAAAGCAUGUCUAAUGUUUGUUCAGCGUCCUUAAAAAUAUUAUAUAAGAACACAAGUAUUUAAACAUAAAGGAACUGAAUGCAGGAGUGGAUUGUCUGAUACAAGCCAUUAGUUAGUGCACUUAAGAACAAUACAAAAACAAGUAUGAGUAAAGAUUCACACCUAAAAGGAAAAUGAUUUAUACUUACAUAACAAAAAGAUUGAGAAAAAGAAAGAAUCCCACACUUAACAAAGCCUUGCUACACUGCAACUAUACUACAACAAAGUAGAGCUUAAAGCAACAUUAUAUAAAACAAGCAAGUAAAACUACUAUUUAUGACUAAUAAGCAACUAUCUUGCUAAUAGCCAAGUUAUAAUUAACCUCAUAAAUGCAGUGUCAAACCCACUUCUAAAACAAACAGCAUCAUAUCAAACCAAAUAUUAUUAAAGUAACAUUAUCUCAAAGGUAAAACUUUGUAACAAAAUGGACGAACACACGACGUUAAUCAAAAGGACAGCUUUAUACCUCAUAGAAAAAUAGAUACCGCAUAAAGGAAAUAACAACUACAAGAAGCUCCCCAAUUAAAGAGAAAAACUAGGCUACGUCACAAUUAACAGGCAGAGAUAAUCUCAUAAAUAUAUAGAGAAGGGGACAAAGAACAUAUACAUAUCUCAACUGCAUGAAUUAGAGAGAGAGAGAGAGAGAAUUAGAGAGAGAAUGUUUAUACCAUUCACUUUCAUUUCCUACUUAUGUAACUACUUAAUCCAACUCAACUCACUAACUACUUAGUCAUAACAGCUUCAUCUUAACAUACCUCACUUCAUGAUCUUCCCCCACGCUAUAUUUAUCAAAGUAUCGAGUCAACUAUUGCACACCUUAUCAAUAGUAGAAUUGAUCUAAUCCAAAAUAGUACAAGUUAUUAAAAACCUUCAAAAUUCAGAAGCUCUAUCUUGCCUCUCAUAUCAAUGUUACAUGUAUCUUUGUGUUGAAUUUGCCUUCUAUCAUGUCUACAUUAGAAACAUGGGUAUUUAUAGACUCAAAGUAAUCCUUAACCUGUAAGGAUUUGGACUCCAAAAUUGAACCUUAACCCUUAAGGAAUUCCAAAAAGGGAUCUUUAGCCAAUAAGGACUCUAAAUAAAGAUUCCUUUUGAAAUCUAGAUCUUUCUAGAGAAUCUGAAAUUUAAAAAAUAUGCUUCGACUAAUUUAUUAAAUAGAUAUAACAAUAACAACAACUAAGCCUUA